rnacentral:rRNA from 1 species
CAGCCGCCGCGGGAAUACGGAGGGUGCAAGCGUUAAUCGGAAUUACUGGGCGUAAAGCGCACGCAGGCGGUCUGACAAGUCAGAUGUGAAAUCCCCGGGCUUAACCUGGGAACUGCAUUUGAAACUAUCAGGCUGGAGUCUUGUAGAGGGGGGUGGAAUUCCAGGUGUAGCGGUGAAAUGCGUAGAGAUCUGGAGGAAUACCGGUGGCGAAGGCGGCCCCCUGGACAAAGACUGACGCUCAGGUGCGAAAGCGUGGGGAGCAAACAGGAUUAGAUACCCGGGUAGUCCCUGUCUCUUAUAA